rnacentral:rRNA from 1 species
GCUAAUACCGCAUAAGCGCACAGCUUCGCAUGAAGCAGUGUGAAAAACUCUGGUGGUAUACGAUGGAUCCGCGUCUGAUUAGCUAGUUGGCGGGGUAAAGGCCCACCAAGGCGACGAUCAGUAGCCGGCCUGAGAGGGUGAACGGCCACAUUGGGACUGAGACACGGCCCAAACUCCUACGGGAGGCAGCAGUGGGGAAUAUUGCACAAUGGGGGAAACCCUGAUGCAGCGACGCCGCGUGAGUGAAGAAGUAUUUCGGUACGUAAAGCUCUAUCAGCAGGGAAGAAAAUGACGGUACCUGACUAAGAAGCCCCGGCUAACUACGUGCCAGCAGCCGCGGUAAUACGUAGGGGGCAAGCGUUAUCCGGAUUUACUGGGUGUAAAGGGAGCGUAGACGGNAGCGCAAGUCUGGAGUGAAAUCCCAUGGCUUAACCAUGGAACUGCUUUGGAAACUGUGCANCUAGAGUGCAGGAGAGGUAAGCGGAAUUCCUAGUGUAGCGGUGAAAUGCGUAGAUAUUAGGAGGAACACCAGUGGCGAAGGCGGCUUACUGGACUGUAACUGACGUUGAGGCUCGAAAGCGUGGGGAGCAAACAGGAUUAGAUACCCUGNUAGUCCACGCUGUAAACGAUGAUUACUAGGNGU